GGAAGCAGAAAGGUAACUGGUGUGCCUACCGGUCUUCAAAACCGUGUUGCGGCAUUGAGUGCCGUGGGUGGGUUCGAUUCCCAUAUGCUUCCGCCA
rnacentral:tRNA from 1 species